rnacentral:rRNA from 1 species
GAUGAACGCUGGCGGCGUGCCUAAUACAUGCAAGUCGAGCGAACAGACGAGGAGCUUGCUCCUCUGACGUUAGCGGCGGACGGGUGAGUAACACGUGUAUAACCUACCUAUAAGACUGGUAUAACUUCGGGAAACCGGAGCUAAUACCGUAUAAUAUAUUGAACCGCAUGGUUCAAUGGUGAGAUACGGUUUUGCUGUCACUUAUAGAUGGAUCCGCGCCGCAUGAGCUAGUUGUUAAGGUAACGGCUUUCCAAGGCAACGAUGCGUAGCCGACCUCAGAGGCUGAUAGGCGACAUGGGAACUGAGACACGGUCCUGACGACUAAGGGAGGCACCAGUAGGGAACCUUACGCAAUGGGCGAAAGCAUGACGGAGCAACGCGGAGCGAGUGAUGAAGGUGUUCGGUGCGUAAAACUCUGUUAUGAGGGAAGAACAAAUGUGUAAGUAAAUAUGCACGUAGUGACGGUAACUAAUCAGAAAGCAACGGCUAACUACGUG